AUAGUCGCGACGUAGUUGAUCAUGGCUCGAGGACGAACGCUGGCGGCGUGCCUAACACAUGCAAGUCGAGCGGGGAUUGAGGAGAGCUUGCUCAAAUCAAUUCUAGCGGCGGACGGGUGAGUAACGCGUGAGCAACCUGCCUUCUACUGGGGAAUAACGCACCGAAAGGUGUGCUAAUACCGCAUGAGACCACAGAACCACAUGGUUUAGGGGUCAAAGAUUUUAUCGGUAGAAGAUGGGCUCGCGUCUGAUUAGCUAGUUGGUGAGGUAACGGCCCACCAAGGCGACGAUCAGUAGCCGACCUGAGAGGGUGAUCGGCCACAUUGGAACUGAGAAACGGUCCAAACUCCUACGGGAGGCAGCAGUGGGGAAUAUUGGGCAAUGGGCGCAAGCCUGACCCAGCAACGCCGCGUGAAGGAAGAAGGUCUUCGGAUCGUAAACUUCUAUCCUUGGUGAAGAUAAUGACGGUAGCCAAGAAGGAAGCCCCGGCUAACUACGUG
rnacentral:rRNA from 1 species